AGAGUUUGAUCCUGGCUCAGGAUUAACGCUGGCGGCGUGCCUAAUACAUGCAAGUCGAACGGAAGUACCUUCGGGUACUUUAGUGGCGAACGGGUGAGUAAUACAUAGGUAACCUACCCUUAAGACGAGGAUAGCCAUUGGAAACGAUGGAUAAAACUGGAUAGGAUAUAGAGGAAGAAUCUUUUAUAUUUAAAAGAGAGAUCUGCUUAAGGAGGGGCCUGUGGCGCAUUAGCUAGUUGGUGGGGUAAGGGCCUACCAAGGCGAUGAUGCGUAGCCGGACUGAGAGGUUGAACGGCCACAAUGGAACUGAGAACGGUCCAUACUCCUACGGGAGGCAGCAGUAGGGUAAUUUUCGGCAAUGGGGGGAACCCUGACCGAGCAACGCCGCGUGAACGAAGAAGUUAUUCGUAAUGUAAAGUUCUUUUAUCAGGGAAGAAAGAGGAAUUUGACGGUACCUGAGGAAUAAGCUCCGGCUAACUACGUG
rnacentral:rRNA from 1 species